rnacentral:rRNA from 1 species
AGGCGUGAUGACGAGGCACUACGGUGCUGAAGCAACAAAUGCCCUGCUUCCAGGAAAAGCCUCUAAGCAUCAGGUAACAUCAAAUCGUACCCCAAACCGACACAGGUGGUCAGGUAGAGAAUACCAAGGCGCUUGAGAGAACUCGGGUGAAGGAACUAGGCAAAAUGGUGCCGUAACUUCGGGAGAAGGCACGCUGAUAUGUAGGUGAAGCGACUUGCUCGUGGAGCUGAAAUCAGUCGAAGAUACCAGCUGGCUGCAACUGUUUAUUAAAAACACAGCACUGUGCAAACACGAAAGUGGACGUAUACGGUGUGACGCCUGCCCGGUGCCGGAAGGUUAAUUGAUGGGGUCAGCGCAAGCGAAGCUCUUGAUCGAAGCCCCGGUAAACGGCGGCCGUAACUAUAACGGUCCUAAGGUAGCGAAAUUCCUUGUCGGGUAAGUUCCGACCUGCACGAAUGGCGUAAUGAUGGCCAGGCUGUCUCCACCCGAGACUCAGUGAAAUUGAACUCGCUGUGAAGAUGCAGUGUACCCGCGGCAAGACGGAAAGACCCCGUGAACCUUUACUAUAGCUUGACACUGAACAUUGAGCCUUGAUGUGUAGGAUAGGUGGGAGGCUUUGAAGUGUGGACGCCAGUCUGCAUGGAGCCGGCCUUGAAAUACCACCCUUUAAUGUUUGAUGUUCUAACGUUGACCCGUGAUCCGGGUUGCGGACAGUGUCUGGUGGGUAGUUUGACUGGGGCGGUCUCCUCCUAAAGAGUAACGGAGGAGCACGAAGGUUGGCUAAUCCUGGUCGGACAUCAGGAGGUUAGUGCAAUGGCAUAAGCCAGCUUGACUGCGAGCGUGACGGCGCGAGCAGGUGCGAAAGCAGGUCAUAGUGAUCCGGUGGUUCUGAAUGGAAGGGCCAUCGCUCAACGGAUAAAAGGUACUCCGGGGAUAACAGGCUGAUACCGCCCAAGAGUUCAUAUCGACGGCGGUGUUUGGCACCUCGAUGUCGGCUCAUCACAUCCUGGGGCUGAAGUAGGUCCCAAGGGUAUGGCUGUUCGCCAUUUAAAGUGGUACGCGAGCUGGGUUUAGAACGUCGUGAGACAGUUCGGUCCCUAUCUGCCGUGGGCGCUGGAGAACUGAGGGGGGCUGCUCCUAGUACGAGAGGACCGGAGUGGACGCAUCACUGGUGUUCGGGUUGUCAUGCCAAUGGCACUGCCCGGUAGCUAAAUGCGGAAGAGAUAAGUGCUGAAAGCAUCUAAGCACGAAACUUGCCCCGAGAUGAGUUCUCCCUGACUCCUUGAGAGUCCUGAAGGAACGUUGAAGACGACGACGUUGAUAGGCCGGGUGUGUAAGCGCAGCGAUGCGUUGAGCUAACCGGUACUAAUG